UAGAUUAAUGAACCAGUCAGACAGUCAGUCAGUCAGUCAGUCAAUUAAUUAAUCAAUCAGUCAGUAUUAAAAUAGAUUGAUCAACCACUCAGACAGACAGACAGACAGUCAGUCAGUCAGUCAGUCAACUCAUCAGACAAUCAAUUUCAAACAACCAAUUCAUUGUUCCAUUGGUCAGGUGGUAUAAUUGAAGCUUUUCAUUCUUGUCUAUUUUUACUAGCCCAAAAAAGGAUCCCGAGGAUUUGUACAAAGACUGAAAGGAAAGCAGGGUCGCUUUAGAGGGAACCUGUCUGGUAAAAGAGUUGACUAUUCUGGACGCACGGUCAUUUCUCCUGACCCUAACCUCCAUAUUGAUCAGGUGGCAGUUCCUGUGCAUGUAGCUAAGGUUCUAACCUAUCCUGAAAGGGUCACAGAAGCUAACAUGAAGUUAAUGAAACAGUUGAUACUGAAUGGAGCUGACAAACAUCCAGGAGCUAACUUUAUUCAACAGAGACAAACCAGCAUCAGAAAGUUCCUAAAGUAUGGUAAUAGAAAACAGAUCAGCAAAGAAUUGAAG